rnacentral:rRNA from 1 species
AGCUUGCUGGGCGGAUUAGUGGCGAACGGGUGAGUAAUACGUGAGUAACCUGCCCUUGACUCUGGGAUAAGCCUGGGAAACUGGGUCUAAUACUGGAUACUACCUCUUGCCGCAUGGUGGGUGGUGGAAAGGGUUUUACUGGUUUUGGAUGGGCUCACGGCCUAUCAGCUUGUUGGUGGGGUAAUGGCUCACCAAGGCGACGACGGGUAGCCGGCCUGAGAGGGUGACCGGCCACACUGGGACUGAGACACGGCCCAGACUCCUACGGGAGGCAGCAGUGGGGAAUAUUGCACAAUGGGCGGAAGCCUGAUGCAGCGACGCCGCGUGAGGGAUGACGGCCUUCGGGUUGUAAACCUCUUUCAGUAGGGAAGAAGCGAGAGUGACGGUACCUGCAGAAGAAGCGCCGGCUAACUACGUGCCAGCAGCCGCGGUAAUACGUAGGGCGCAAGCGUUGUCCGGAAUUAUUGGGCGUAAAGAGCUCGUAGGCGGUUUGUCGCGUCUGCUGUGAAAGCCCGGGGCUCAACCCCGGGUCUGCAGUGGGUACGGGCAGACUAGAGUGCAGUAGGGGAGACUGGAAUUCCUGGUGUAGCGGUGAAAUGCGCAGAUAUCAGGAGGAACACCGAUGGCGAAGGCAGGUCUCUGGGCUGUUACUGACGCUGAGGAGCGAAAGCAUGGGGAGCGAACAGGAUUAGAUACCCUGGUAGUCCAUGCCGUAAACGUUGGGCACUAGGUGUGGGGGACAUUCCACGUUUUCCGCGCCGUAGCUAACGCAUUAAGUGCCCCGCCUGGGGAGUACGGCCGCAAGGCUAAAACUCAAAGGAAUUGACGGGGGCCCGCACAAGCGGCGGAGCAUGCGGAUUAAUUCGAUGCAACGCGAAGAACCUUACCAAGGCUUGACAUUCACCGGACCGCCCCAGAGAUGGGGUUUCCCUUCGGGGCUGGUGGACAGGUGGUGCAUGGUUGUCGUCAGCUCGUGUCGUGAGAUGUUGGGUUAAGUCCCGCAACGAGCGCAACCCUCGUUCUAUGUUGCCAGCACGUGAUGGUGGGGACUCAUAGGAGACUGCCGGGGUCAACUCGGAGGAAGGUGGGGAUGACGUCAAAUCAUCAUGCCCCUUAUGUCUUGGGCUUCACGCAUGCUACAAUGGCCGGUACAAAGGGUUGCGAUACUGUGAGGUGGAGCUAAUCCCAAAAAGCCGGUCUCAGUUCGGAUUGAGGUCUGCAACUCGACCUCAUGAAGUCGGAGUCGCUAGUAAUCGCAGAUCAGCAACGCUGCGGUGAAUACGUUCCCGGGCCUUGUACACACCGCCCGUCAAGUCACGAAAGUUGGUAACACCCGAAGCCGGUGGCCUAACCCCUUGUGGGAGGGAGC